GCCGGGUGUGGUGGCGGGCGCCUAUAAUCCCAGCUACUUGGGAGGCUGAGGCAGGAGAAUCGCUUGAACCCAGGAAGCAGAGGUUUCAGUGAGCCGAAAUCGAGCCAUUGCACUCCAGCCUGGGUGACAGAGCGAGACUCUGUCUCAA
rnacentral:SRP_RNA from 1 species